CGUCUUGAGGCGCCCAGCUCGGCUGUGCCCUAGCAGCACGUCAAAACUGGAGUCACAAAGUUCAAUCCUCCAGUAUUGCCUUGCUGCUUGAGUGAGGCAGGAGCCUUGUUCAAUUGCCCCA
rnacentral:precursor_RNA from 15 species